UACGGAGGAUGCGAGCGUUAUCCGGAUUUAUUGGGUUUAAAGGGUGCGCAGGCGGACGGCUAAGUCAGCGGUGAAAUGUCCCGGCUCAACCGGGGAGCUGCCGUUGAUACUGGCCGACUAAGGUCCAAACGGCGCCGGCGGAAUGUGUGGUGUAGCGGUGAAAUGCAUAGAUACCACACAGAACACCGAUCGCGAAGGCAGCUGGCGAGGACGGCACCGACGCUGAGGCACGAAGGCGUGGGGAUCGAAC
rnacentral:rRNA from 1 species